rnacentral:tRNA from 1 species
GGAGAUGUCUGAAUGGGGAAACCCGCAUGAGNGCAGGGGGUCGAGAGUUCGAAUCUCUUCAUCUCCA